rnacentral:rRNA from 1 species
CAUGGAGGGUGAGAAUCCCGUUCAUGGUUAAUUCUAAGAUACUUUAUGAUGCGUUUUCGAAGAGUCGAGUUGUUUGGGAUUGCAGCUCAAAAUGGGAGGUAAAUUUCUCCUAAGGCUAAAUAUUGGCGAGAGACCGAUAGCGAACAAGUACCGUGAGGGAAAGAUGAAAAGAACUUUGAAAAGAGAGUUAAACAGUACGUGAAAUUGUUGAAAGGGAAACGAUUGAAGUCAGUCGUACCAGCGGGAAAUCAACCUUUCGAGUGGGGGUUUUGGAGUUUUGAAGAGUGGUUAAAACCUUUGAGAUUUCAAAAAUUUCGCUCUUUUGGUGUACUUUCUCGUGGGUAGGUUAACAUCGAUUUUGAUCAUCAUAAAAAGAUUGGAGGAAUGUAGCUUCGAUCUUGUAUUGAAGUGUUAUAGCCUUUGGUAAAUGUGAUGAUUAGGAUCGAGGAUUGCAACGAAUACCCUUUUGGGCUAUCCGCCUGAUCUCUGAUACGUGGCCUUGGUAUCGAAAGCGUGCUUAUGGUAUUGAGGUAUUACGGUCAAAAGGUUAGAACGGAUUACAUUCGUUAAGGAUGUUGACGUAAUGG